AAACUCUGGAGAACUCAUUGAAUUGAGUGCCGAAGGUGCAAGACCGUUCGCGGUCGAAUCUCUCAGGCAAAGGGACAGAGGAGCAA
rnacentral:ncRNA from 1 species